rnacentral:snRNA from 1 species
AGAUGUGAGGGCAAUCUGGCUGCGACAUCUGUCACCCCCUUGAUCACCAGGUUGAUUAGGCUGAUCUGGCUGGCUAGGCUGGUGUCCCCUUCCUCCCACUCUGUGUGCAUCCCUCCCAAAGCUUCACACUAUAAGUAAAAGAUGACCACCCCUGAUAGAGGAGAACCAUUUCCUGGAUCAAGGGUAUACAAGUAGCUACCCUCUCUGCUAGAAUCGCCAAACAAGCUCUCGAGGUCCAUAAUUUAGUUUUCCCACUAGCUCCUGAUUUUCUCAAAACCUCUGGGAGGCCUCCCU